GACGAACGCUGGCGGCGUGCUUAACACAUGCAAGUCGAACGGAAAGGCCCUGCUUUUGUGGGGUGCUCGAGUGGCGAACGGGUGAGUAACACGUGAGUAACCUGCCCUUGACUUUGGGAUAACUUCAGGAAACUGGGGCUAAUACCGGAUAGGAGCUCCUGCUGCAUGGUGGGGGUUGGAAAGUUUCGGCGGUUGGGGAUGGACUCGCGGCUUAUCAGCUUGUUGGUGGGGUAGUGGCUUACCAAGGCUUUGACGGGUAGCCGGCCUGAGAGGGUGACCGGCCACAUUGGGACUGAGAGACGGCCCAGAAUCCUACGGGAGGCAGCAGUGGGGAAUAUUGCACAAUGGGCGGAAGCCUGAUGCAGAAACGCCGCGUGCGGGAUGACGGCCUUCGGGUUGUAAACCGCUUUCGCCUGUGACGAAGCGUGAGUGACGGUAAUGGGUAAAGAAGCACCGGCUAACUACGUG
rnacentral:rRNA from 1 species